GUUUUGAUGAAUUUUGUUAGAAAAGACAUUCCACUUUUGUUUGAGGUUAUGAAGGUUUUGUCGUCAGGUUAUACUUAAAAUGUUGUAUAUAUCCCGGGGAUUGUGGAGAAUAGCAACGAGGGAUAAACAAAAAUUUAAUUAUCAUAGUGAUCAUUGAAACAAUACUUCAAAUCUUCGUAUCUGUGGAAUUUUUAAAAAGAAAUUGAGCAGACUUUACUCAGAAAAACCGCAUGAGGUGGGCAGUGGAGAGAGGUAGACAUCAUGCGGCAGGUUCGUGGACACCAUGUCGAGGUCGUGACAGCACGCGUGGAUGCUGAACCUCCAUUAUUUAUAAUCGCUAAUUGUCAGAUGUGAACGAUUCGAAACGAUUGAGGAUUUCAGACUUUCUAAACGAAAAAUACAUGGGAAAGUGGUCUUAUAUUGCAUAUACAGGGUUCGUUCUUAGGUAUUCGACGUCGACUGGCGCGGAGUGUGACGAAUGGCUGGUGUGUCAGGGUGGUGGCAUGAUUGCAAACUACCUUUUGACUCGUUUGCGCAGCCCUCGAAAGCGUCGUCGCGACGCUUAUACAUGCGCCGUUUGAUGCCGGCUACCUCUAAGAGAUAUCCUCAAUCCCAGUUGGCGACCACAGGCUCCUGCUUGGUCUAAUCAUCUUCCUCCCAGACGCUGACUAAAGAACGAGGGAAUUCCUAAAGCCAAAUGUAUUUUGGAAUUCUUUGCGUCUUUAAAAUAAUGUUUAGCCCAUCUAGAAGUACCGGUGAUAUU